UACGAAGGGGGCUAGCGUUGCUCGGAAUCACUGGGCGUAAAGGGCUCGUAGGCGGCCAACUAAGUCAGACGUGAAAUCCCUCGGCUUAACCGGGGAACUGCAUCUGAUACUGGAUGGCUUGAGAUUGGGAGAGGGAUGCGGAAUUCCAGGUGUAGCGGUGAAAUGCGUAGAUAUCUGGAGGAACACCGGUGGCGAAGGCGGCAUCCUGGACCGAUACUGACGCUGAGGAGCGAAAGCCAGGGGAGCAAACGGG
rnacentral:rRNA from 1 species